UUCCCUUCCCCCGUGAGCCCCUAGACGAAGCUUCCUGAGUCCCUGUGGCACCCCCACCUUGGGUGUAGGGUCCUCGGACACACCAUUACCCACCCCCGCGGUGCUUCCCCGUCGCAGGAGAACCCCCAGCGCAAGGGCGACCCUGGGACACGGAGGUCCCCUGUACUUCAGCUCAGUUCCCCGCCCUCUAGGUGCCCAACUGAGCGCUCCUCGGGGCUCCUGCAACUCUCCGGGGCCAAGUAUCGCGUCUCUCUUCGGUCGCCCCCAACCCAUCGCCAUCCCCACCCUGGCAGUGCUUCCCAGCUCAAGGGGGGGGGGGGGUCCCUCGGGAGCCGCGUUCCCGCACGUCGCGCACUCCCCGCUCAGCUCCCCGCCCCCUCGGCCGUGCUUUCUGGGCCCCCGGCAGCUGUCCAGGCCCGGCCGUUCCCCCCCCGCGCUCCGAGAAGUGCUUCCCCACCCAGGGCUCCCCACGGCGCGCGGGUUUCCCGAGGGCGUCCCGGGAGCGCCAUGCGGCGCCUCCUCACCUCCGGGUCUGCACGGUGGGGCUGUAUUUGCCUUUGUUUCUCUUCCUGAAGAGCGAGUUCAUGGUGGCGCUCGGGGUGCGCGGGCGGGGGCGGCGGGUCGCGGCGCCGGGCUGGCAGUGGGCGGCGGGCGGGCCCGGCGCGCACCGAGGGGCAGGCAGCGGACACAGGUGAGCGAGCGGCGGCGCGGGAGCCCCUAGUGCGGCGCGGCGCGGGCGACCGGUCACUACUCACGGGGGGCGGGGCGCCCGCUGGCCUCCGGCUGUCCCGGCCGCUCCCCGAGAAGGUGGCGCUUACCUUCCCGGAGGAGGGGCCACCGGGCGGGCGGGGCUUCCAGCCCCCUCGGGCGCGCGCCCUAGGCCUGGUGCGAGCGAGUGGGGUGCCAGGCCAGGGCUGGGGGUGGGACACGCGGUCCUAUCCGGACACCGCCCACCCACCCCGGCCCCCGCACGCUUGUGGCUGGCAGGUGGGCAGAGGCGCUCCGCCAGCUUUCCCGGGCACACCCAGCCCCACCCUCACACCCCCUCCCCGGGGGCCCCGGCGCGCCCCCUGGCUGAGGGCCUUCACCUGGCUCCCGGCUGCCCCUGGCGCGCAACGCUCGCCUCUCCUUGGCUCACACCCAGGUGUCCCCCGCCCAGACAGGUGUGGCAAAGACCUGACGGGUCUCUGUGCCUUGGAUAGCUCGUGAAUGACACUCAGGUGGUAAUAGUGUCAAUGACGACUGAGAAAAGCACGCACCUGUCGCGCAUCAAAUCCCCCAAGACUUCCGCCACAAACGGUCAGCUGACACCUGGCAAGGCUGCUGACCGUUCCCAGCCUCAGUUUCCUUAUUUGCCAAACAGUGAUAACAACUGCCCCCAGCCCAAAAAAAGGUUAGUAGGAGAGUCCUGUUGAGAUUUCACAGAGUACGUAACACGGUGCCUGGCCCAAAUGUGCAGGAAGUGUGGCUGUCAUUAUCAAGCCGAAUCCUUUGAAACUUGAAUAACUCCAGGCCCUGGAAUGAUGGAACCACUUCGUGGCUGGUCAUAAAAGCAGCUGGGUUCUGGUUCAAAAUAGCCAUGUUACACAAUUCUGCCAGCAUGUACCCAGGUUAAAUUGUGUGCCACCGUGUGCCUGGGUUAGACAGUGGGCGUCUGUGCACCCAGAUUAGGCAUGUGCUACUCCAGAAGCCUGCAGUUGGGCAGUAAACAGUCUGAGUGAGCUCACAUGGGGCCCAGACAGCUGGGAAGGAAGGUUCACGCCACUUUAGAGGGUGCUGGGGCUGGGGUCUGAGCCCAGCUGGUAAGGAGAAGCAAUGAGGUCUGCAGGGCAGGGAGGCAGGAUCCCCCACUGGGGAUCCAGAGUCCUCAGGCUAGUCCCUUCCCCAGAUGUUUUUCUUUAUAAAAUAAGGACGUUGGUGGGGAUGUUGAUCCCCAAGGGCUUUUACUGCCCCAGACCUCAGAGCAUCUGAGAAACACAGGUUCCUUUAGGCCAUCUCUUGUCCCUACCAUUUAAACACUUCAGUUUUGAAGUGUUACAGAGACGCUAGGAAAAACUAACUCUUUUUUGUUUGUUAAUGUUAAUGGCAGAGAGAGAGAGAGAGGACAGAGGAUCUGAAGCGGGCUCUGCACUGACAGCAGAGAGCCUGACGCGGGGCUCCAACUCACUAGUCGUGAGAUCAUGACCUGAGCCAAAGUUGGAUGCUCAACUGAUUGAGCCACCAGGCACCCUGGAAAACCUUAUUCUUAAUGAGGCAUCUGUGGGUGAGCUUAAGAGGGUCUGUGCAUCCUUAUAGCUUCUUUCAAAAUGUGCCCAUUUGUGCAUUUUUCUUGGGGAGGGCCUACUGCUUUCAGUGAGUUUCUUCCUUCACUCAUCCAGCUGAUACUCAGUAACACUCUUCCAGCUGCGGCUGCCUGGUUCCACUACAAGAUAAGAAAAGGGAAAAGACAAAACACAGCAAAGGGCCUUUCUCUUAAGGGAUGGGGCCUGCAGGGCACCAAAGGACUCAGGUCCAGCCAGCUAACAUUGGGAACAGGUGUCAGGGAGAAGCCAAGGUUUCAGAUUACAGGUGUGGGUGGAGGCGGGUGGAUUUGGGGCCUGAACACUAACUCAGCAGAGUUUACCCGCCCACAACCCCUUCGCCACAGCCCAAGUGGGCCUUAGCCGGGGCCUCAAGAGGAAACCUUGUUGAUCCCUCUGCUUUUGCCCAUGUGGCAACUCUGCCUGUAAACCCUUUCCUUACUUCUCUCUCUUGCCUAUCCCUACAGGGUGGCUCUCACAUGGGAGCUCAGCAUCCCUUAAGGGAUGUUCAUGGAAGCACUGUUGCUAUGGAGAAAGCUCCGGAGACAACCUGAUGGUCAUGGGGAGAAAGUGGUUAAAUAAUCCACGGUGUAUCCACACUACGAAACUAUGCAGCUGGAAAAGAAUGAGGGCCUGAUGUGGACACACUUAGCCAGGCACCAGAAGUACAGUGCGAGGAAGAGAAUAUACAUAUGUAUAUGCACAGAAAGCUUCUGGAAGGAUCCACAAGCUACUUUGUUACUGGACCAGGAGAUACUGAGGAGUAAAGAUCAUGAAAGAUAGGAAACUUGGGGGGGAAAAGACCCUGUGCUGAAGCAGGAAGCUGCUCUCCCCUCAAGUUGCUGAUAGUCUAAGAGCUGAGACAAAGAUACACCUGCCAAGUUCACCUGGAUGAGUCUGGGAGGUAGAAGAGCCUUAUCAGAGCUCCAAAGAUGGGGAGGAGCAGCCUGGGAGACCUGGGUUGGGGUCCUCGCUUGGUCUCUGUCAGCUGUGUGGACGUGGGCAAGUCAUCUUGCCUCUCUCAGCCUCAGUUGUCCUCAUCUGUGAAAUGGCCACACAAUGAUAGCAUCAACCUCAGAGAGCAAGACCCCAUGGGUUGUCACCCACUUAGCACACCCUCUGUCUCUAGUGAUGGCUCAACAAAUGGGAGGACAUUACAUCCAUAGCUGGAGGCUGGAUGCUUGUGGCACUGAGGGGUACAAGCAGUUACAGGAACUCCAAGCGGUGUCAAAACUCUAGACUUCUCCCAAUUUCUGAAUCUCCUUUCCCCAUACUUCUUAGAAAGGUGAAGGUCGGCUUUGGGGAGGAAACCGGGCUGGGGGGGUGCUUCCCGGUUAGCCUGCUUGUAGCUCAGCUGCUGAGUAACAGUCAUGACACUGAUUAUAUUAACGCCGUGUCUCAUUUAUUGAGGAUGGACUCUGUGCCAGGCAACAUGGCAUGUGCCCAAAAUGCCUCAGCUGAUUCCUUCUCCCCCACGGACCCCCACUGGGUGAAGCUGCAGGUGGGGGGGGGAGACCAGCCCUCCCCACCUGGGGCAAAGCUCUCUUAUCUCCUGUUCCAGGAAAGAGCAUCGAAACCCUGCGAGGCCCAGUGCACAGCGGGGCUGGUUCCUGGGUGAGCCUGCUCCAGCCCUGAGCUCGGACCCCCACCCACCUCCACCCUCCCAGCCUCCCGCUGACUCAGCUGGGUCAGGCCCAGGAGCUUCGGGGAGAAUUAGCAGAUUCAGGGAGGAAUUUGGGCUGUGCUUCACCAUCCUCCCCCUCCGUUCUCUCCAAGCUGGGCUCCAAGCUGGUGCAGCUCUGUGUGCAUGCACACGCGUACACACGUGUGCACGACACUGGCUUGUGGGCAGGCCGGAUGGGGUGGGAGCUGUGUUCUGGCCCUGUGCAUCCUCCUCUGGGCAGAUGGGAUUUGUUUGGUUCCGCAGAGCCCUCGUAUGCCAAGUGACUCAUCCCUCUGCCGACCGGGGGUGGGGGCUCGGGGGAGGGUGUUGGCUUUCCUCGGGUUUGCUUGAUGGUUAAACCCACGGAGAGGGCACCUGCGCGGCCAUCCAGUUCUCUGGCAACCAGGCCACCCUCGGCCCCUGAAGCCUGUCCCCUCUCUACAGCUGGGCUAGGCUGCUGACCCCCGGAGGCCACUACCUUCUGAAGGGUCACCCACCCCCUCCUUGUUUGCGGUCAUUGUUUCCCCAGCAGCUGGAGAGUUGUUCACUCACUCGCUCACUGGUUUGGGGUGUUCCUGCGAACCAGUCUGAAACAAGAAGGGCAACAUUCCCCCAGCCCCAGAAAGAGGGGUGUGAUGGCCCAGCAACCCGUUCCUUACCACAGCCCCUUCUCCUCCCAUCCUCCCGUGGACAGCCAUCUCCUGUCUCCAACUGUAUGACCUCACCUCCACCUGAGGAGCAUUUAAAAAUGCAGAUUCUAGAGUCCCCUUGUUGGGCGGGUCUGGAAGGGCCCUGGGAAUCUGCAUGUUAACAAACAACUUCCCCCAGGUUACUGAAGCAGGUGGUUUCUGGGCCACCCUGAGAAACAGCUGUGAACAGAAAGAUGCGGUACAUGCUCAGGCCCUGGUCUACACCCACCUGGGAAGAGCCCACAGACUGUAGCUUGAAGCCAAACUGGGUUUGAAUCCUGACUCUGCCACAUCCACCUGUGUGUCCUUUCAGAGGUGGCUUACCCUUCUGGAAUCUUGGUUUCCCCAUCUGUAAAAUGGGGAAGAGCCAGGGUGCCAUGAUGCAUGCCAAGCACCUGGCAUGGGAUCCCCUCUUCUCCCCACUCUUCAAGGGGACAAGAGGGGAAUGGCCCGGCUUCACCCUGUGUUUUGUAACAUGUAUUUACUUUUCUUGCAGAACAAUGCAAGGGAUGGAAAAAUCACGCUGGCUCUCCAGCCCAGAUGGGCUGACUCACACUCAGUCCUGGGCUGGGGGCCUGGUGAGCUCCCCACAAAGCCCUUGGGGCCAGAUGGGAGGUUGGACCCUGGCAGCAGAGGCAGGAGAGGGUCCAUGAUGUGGAAACCAAGGCUCCAAGAUGUUAAGUGCCUACUCAAGGUGGUCAGGAAGGAACUCAGGAUUUAAACCCUGCAAAAUGAGGGGCGCAUGCAUGACUCAGUCGUUUAAGUGUCUGACUUCCACUCAGGUCGUGAUCUCGAUGUUUGUGAGUUCGAGCCUCACAUCGGACUCUGCUGACAGCUUGGAGCCUGGAGCCUGCUUCAGAUUCUGUGUCUCCUGACAGCUGGGAGCCUGCUUCAGAUUCUAAGUCUCCUCCUCUCUCUGCCCCUCCACCACUCUCACUUGGUCUCUCUCUCUCUCUCUCUCUCUUACUCUCUCUCAAAAACAAACAUUAAUGGGGAGCCUGGGUGGCUCAGUCAGUUAAGCAUCCGACUCCGGCUCAGGUCAUGAUCUUGUGGUUUGUGAGUUCGAGCCCCAUGUUGGACUCUGUCCUGACAGCUCAGAGCCUGGAGCCUGCUUCAGAUUCUGUGUCUCCCCUCUCCUUGCCCUUCCCAUGCUCAUGCUCUGUCUCUCUCGGUGUCUCAAUAAUAAAUAAAGGUUAAAAAAAUUUUUU